rnacentral:rRNA from 1 species
UACAGAGGGUGCGAGCGUUAAUCGGAAUUACUGGGCGUAAAGGGUGCGUAGGUGGCAAGUUAAGUUGGAUGUGAAAGCCCUGGGCUCAACCUAGGAAUUGCAUUCAAUACUGACUUACUAGAGUCGGGUAGAGGGAGGUGGAAUUUCCGGUGUAGCGGUGAAAUGCGUAGAUAUCGGAAGGAACACCAGUGGCGAAGGCGGCCUCCUGGACCUAGACUGACACUGAGGCACGAAAGCGUGGGGAUCAAACAGG